AGCUUCUUAGCUUAUACUUAAAGCAUGUAUUUUGAAAAUACAAGAAAGAGCAAUUUAGUAGCUU
rnacentral:tRNA from 1 species